ensembl:lncRNA
AUUACUGAGACAGGGUUAAUAUCAUUACUGAGACAGGGUUAAUAUCAUUACUGAGACAGGGUUACUAUCAUUACUGAGACAGGGUUACUGAGACAGGGUUACUGAGACAGGGUUAACAUCAUUACUGAGACAGGGUUACUGAGACAGGGUUACUGAGACAGGGUUACUAUCAUUACUGAGACAGGGUUACUGAGACAGGGUUACUAUCAUUACUGAGACAGGGUUACUGAGACAGGGUUAAUAUCAUUACUGAGACAGGGUUACUGAGACAGGGUUACUAUCAUUACUGAGACAGGGUUACUGAGACAGGGUUAAUAUCAUUACUGAGACAGGGUUACUAUCAUUACUGAGACAGGGUUAAUAUCAUUACUGAGACAGGGUUAAUAUCAUUACUGAGACAGGGUUACUAUCAUUACUGAGACAGGGUUACUGAGACAGGGUUACUAUCAUUACUGAGACAGGGUUACUGAGACAGGGUUAAUAUCAUUACUGAGACAGGGUUACUGAGACAGGGUUAAUAUCAUUACUGAGACAGGGUUACUGAGACAGGGUUAAUAUCAUUACUGAGACAGGGUUACUGAGACAGGGUUACUAUCAUUACUGAGACAGGGUUACUGAGACAGGGUUACUGAGACAGGGUUACUAUCAUUACUGAGACAGGGUUACUGAGACAGGGUUACUCAGACAGGGUUAAUAUCAUUACUGAGACAGGGUUACUGAGACAGGGUUACUAUUAUUACUGAGACAGGGUUACUGAGACAGGGUUAAUAUCAUUACUGAGACAGGGUUACUAUCAUUACUGAGACAGGGUUACUGAGACAGGGUUAAUAUCAUUACUGAGACAGGGUUACUGAGACAGGGUUACUAUCAUUACUGAGACAGGGUUACUGAGACAGGGUUACUAUCAUUACUGAGACAGGGUUACUGAGACAGGGUUACUCAGACAGGGUUAAUAUCAUUACUGAGACAGGGUUACUGAGACAGGGUUACUAUUAUUACUGAGACAGGGUUACUGAGACAGGGUUAAUAUCAUUACUGAGACAGGGUUACUAUCAUUACUGAGACAGGGUUACUGAGACAGGGUUAAUAUCAUUACUGAGACAGGGUUAAUGAGACAGGGUUAAUAUCAUUACUGAGACAGGGUUACUAUCAUUACUGAGACAGGGUUACUAUCAUUACUGAGACAGGGUUACUGAGACAGGGUUACUAUCAUUACUGAGACAGGGUUACUAUCAUUACUGAGACAGGGUUACUAUCAUUACUGAGACAGGGUUACUGAGACAGGGUUACUAUCAUUACUGAGACAGGGUUACUGAGACAGGGUUAAUAUCAUUACUGAGACAGGGUUACUAUCAUUACUGAGACAGGGUUACUAUCAUUACUGAGACAGGGUUACUGAGACAGGGUUACUAUCAUUACUGAGACAGGGUUACUGAGACAGGGUUAAUAUCAUUACUGAGACAGGGUUACUAUCAUUACUGAGACAGGGUUACUGAGACAGGGUUAAUAUCAUUACUGAGACAGGGUUACUAUCAUUACUGAGACAGGGUUACUGAGACAGGGUUACUAUCAUUACUGAGACAGGGUUACUAUCAUUACUGAGACAGGGUUACUGAGACAGGGUUAAUAUCAUUACUGAGACAGGGUUACUGAGACAGGGUUACUAUCAUUACUGAGACAGGGUUACUGAGACAGGGUUACUAUCAUUACUGAGAC